GGAGCUUGCUCCUUGGGUGGCGAGUGGCGGACGGGUGAGGAAUACAUCGGAAUCUACUUUUUCGUGGGGGAUAACGUAGGGAAACUUACGCUAAUACCGCAUACGACCUACGGGUGAAAGCAGGGGACCUUCGGGCCUUGCGCGAUUGAAUGAACCGAUGUCGGAUUAGCUAGUUGGCGGGGUAAAGGCCCACCAAGGCGACGAUCCGUAGCUGGUCUGAAAGGAUGAUCAGCCACACUGGAACUGAGACACGGUCCACACUCCUACGGGAGGCAGCAGUGGGGAAUAUUGGACAAUGGGCGCAAGCCUGAUCCAGCCAUACCGCGUGGGUGAAGAAGGCCUUCGGGUUGUAAAGCCCUUUUGUUGGGAAAGAAAUCCAGCCGGCUAAUACCUGGUUGGGAUGACGGUACCCAAAGAAUAACCACCGGCUAACUUCGUGCCACCAGCCGCGGUAAUACGAAGGGUGCAAGCGUUACUCGUAAUUACUGGGCGUAAAGCGUGCGUAGGUGGUUGUUUAAGUCUGUUGUGAAAGCCCUGGGCUCAGCCUGGGAACUGCAGUGGAAACUGGACAACUAGAGUGUGGUAGAGGGUAACGGAAUUCCCGGUGUAUCAGUGAAAUGCGUAUAGAUCGGGAGGAACAUCCAUGGCGAAGGCACCUACCUGGACCAACACUGACACUGAGGCACGAAA
rnacentral:rRNA from 1 species